rnacentral:snoRNA from 1 species
UUGUGAUGUUUUGGAUGAUGAGAAACAAAAAUCAAAAUACAGUUAUCCCUGGCUUAGGGUUUAAAGCCCGUUGCUGAGUCUUUUGUAAUCUGACACACAUCACAA